GGGGGAGUUUUUCCGGCAUAACACCGGAAAGCUCCACUAAAAGAAGACGUUGCUUAGUUACAGUAUCUAUUCAACCCACACAUAUUUAGUCUAGCAUAGCAUCGUUUCAUGUAACGUUAGCAAACUACUUUCAAUAUGCCAUUUAAAGUAACGUUACAUGGAGACUGCUUGGUUAUAAUGGAAUGGACUAAAAAAACUAAGCUAGCUAAUUAAGCAACUGAUUUGUCUCGAGUCAUACAUUUAGCGUGCAUGCCAGUUCUCGACCAGAGUGCUGAAGGAGACACCUGUUAUGUACAGCCCCCCAAAGAACUGGAUCACUCGUUUUUCGACAACGACGGUGAUUGUGACAGCAGCAGCAUCAGCAAAGAGCAAGGGAAGAGUGAAAGAAAGAGUGAAAUAAGCUCUGAGGCUAGAAAGGAGCCAGACAUCCAGCCGGACGCUCCACAGACAGAGCAAUGUAGUGGUACAGAGAGGUCCGGUGGUGAUGCCUCAACCGAGGACAGAGGAAAAGGGUCAUGGCUUUGAGGCCGAAGAGAGGAGCAGCUGGUCUUCUAGCAUAUCUUCCAUUAAAUCAGAGGUCAAGGUAAAUCACAAGGAAAGGGCAACGAGUACUUUAUUAUUAGGGGCUCCCGAGUGGCGCAGCGGUCAGACCCUGGUUCGAUUCCAGGCUGUUUCACAUCCGGCCGUGAUUGGGAGUCCCAUAGGGCAGCACACAAUUGGCUCAGCGUCGUCCGGGUUAGGGCUUGGCCAGGUUAGGGUAGGCCGUCAUUGUAAAUGAGAAUUGUUCUUAACUGACUUGCCUAGUUUAAUAAACGUUAAAUAUGUAUAUAUUUUUUAAAUGUCUGUGUGGCUUCGUCAUUCUACUUUACGCCACAAGGUGGCAUUAGCCACUCAAUACAACUGCCCAGGUUAGGGUAGGCCGUCAUUGUAAAUAAGAAUUUGUUCUUAACUGACUUGCCUAGUUUAAUAAAGGUUAAAUAUUUUAAAUGUCUGUGUGGCUUCGUCAUUCUACUUUACGCCACAAGGUGGCAUUAAUGUCAAGGAAGCAUUAUUAUUUAGAAUUCGAAAUAAAGAUAAAUGAUUUAUUCCAAAAGAUGUCCAUUAGUAUUCCAAUUGUUUUUAUACAAUACAGUACAGAUUUAGAACAAACAGUAGUCACAUAAAAUGCGAUCCUCAUCAUUCAUGUUCUUAGUGGCAAUCACUUUCAAAAACAUGUCCUUCAAAAGCUUGAAUAGAGUUCCAUGACCAGGGAUCUGAUUAAUAAAAACAUGUAU